CCUACGGGUGGCUGCAGUGGGGAAUAUUGCACAAUGGGGGGAACCCUGAUGCAGCGACGCCGCGUGAGUGAAGAAGUAUUUCGGUAUGUAAAGCUCUAUCAGCAGGGAAGAAAAUGACGGUACCUGACUACGAAGCCACGGCUAACUACGUGACAGCAGCCGCGGUAAUACGGAGGGGGCACGCGUGAUCCGGAUGUAAUGGGUGUAACGGGAACGUAGACGGCUGAGCGAGUCAGAAGGGAAAGCCGGCGGCGCAACGCCGGGACUGCUUUUGAUACUGGCCGGCUAGAGUGCUGUAGAGGUGGGCAGAAUUCCUAGUGUAGCGGUGAAAGGCGUAGAGAUUAGGAGGAACACCAGUGGCGAAGGCGGCUUACUGGACAAUGACUGACGUUGAGGCUCGAAAGCGUGGGGAGCAAACAGGAUUAGAUACCCUAGUAGUC
rnacentral:rRNA from 1 species